GAUUUCUGGUUCGGCGCACUUGGCCCGCCUCGGUUUACGGGGUCGCGUGCCGGUGUGCGCCAUCCAUCCUUCGGAAAAACGUAUCUACCCUUCACUGGGCCGGAUACGCUAUUCCGAUCUUUUACUUUGAAAAAAUUAGAGUGUUUAAAGCAGGCUCGCGGCUGUGAAUACAUUAGCAUGGAAUAAUAAUCUAGGACUUCGGUUCUAUUUUGUUGGUUUCUAUAACUGAAGUAAUGAUUGAUAGGGAUAGUUGGGGGUGCUAGUAUUGGCCGGCCAGAGGUGAAAUUCUUGGAUUCGGUCAAGACUAACUUAUGCGAAAGCAUU
rnacentral:rRNA from 1 species